rnacentral:rRNA from 2 species
AUGGGAAACGGGUUAAUAUUCCCGUACUUGGUGUUACUGCGAAGGGGGGACGGAGAAGGCUAUGUUGGCCGGGCGACGGUUGUCCCGGUUUAAGCGUGUAGGCUGGUUUUCCAGGCAAAUCCGGAAAAUCAAGGCUGAGGCGUGAUGACGAGGCACUACGGUGCUGAAGCAACAAAUGCCCUGCUUCCAGGAAAAGCCUCUAAGCAUCAGGUAACAUCAAAUCGUACCCCAAACCGACACAGGUGGUCAGGUAGAGAAUACCAAGGCGCUUGAGAGAACUCGGGUGAAGGAACUAGGCAAAAUGGUGCCGUAACUUCGGGAGAAGGCACGCUGACACGUAGGUGAAGUGAUUUACUCAUGGAGCUGAAGUCAGUCGAAGAUACCAGCUGGCUGCAACUGUUUAUUAAAAACACAGCACUGUGCAAACACGAAAGUGGACGUAUACGGUGUGACGCCUGCCCGGUGCCGGAAGGUUAAUUGAUGGGGUCAGCGCAAGCGAAGCUCCUGAUCGAAGCCCCGGUAAACGGCGGCCGUAACUAUAACGGUCCUAAGGUAGCGAAAUUCCUUGUCGGGUAAGUUCCGACCUGCACGAAUGGCGUAAUGAUGGCCAGGCUGUCUCCACCCGAGACUCAGUGAAAUUGAACUCGCUGUGAAGAUGCAGUGUACCCGCGGCAAGACGGAAAGACCCCGUGAACCUUUACUAUAGCUUGACACUGAACAUUGAGCCUUGAUGUGUAGGAUAGGUGGGAGGCUUUGAAGUGUGGACGCCAGUCUGCAUGGAGCCGACCUUGAAAUACCACCCUUUAAUGUUUGAUGUUCUAACGUGGACCCGUUACCCGGGUUGCGGACAGUGUCUGGUGGGUAGUUUGACUGGGGCGGUCUCCUCCUAAAGAGUAACGGAGGAGCACGAAGGUUGGCUAAUCCUGGUCGGACAUCAGGAGGUUAGUGCAAUGGCAUAAGCCAGCUUGACUGCGAGCGUGACGGCGCGAGCAGGUGCGAAAGCAGGUCAUAGUGAUCCGGUGGUUCUGAAUGGAAGGGCCAUCGCUCAACGGAUAAAAGGUACUCCGGGGAUAACAGGCUGAUACCGCCCAAGAGUUCAUAUCGACGGCGGUGUUUGGCACCUCGAUGUCGGCUCAUCACAUCCUGGGGCUGAAGUAGGUCCCAAGGGUAUGGCUGUUCGCCAUUUAAAGUGGUACGCGAGCUGGGUUUAGAACGUCGUGAGACAGUUCGGUCCCUAUCUGCCGUGGGCGCUGGAGAACUGAGGGGGGCUGCUCCUAGUACGAGAGGACCGGAGUGGACGCAUCACUGGUGUUCGGGUUGUCAUGCCAAUGGCACUGCCCGGUAGCUAAAUGCGGAAGAGAUAAGUGCUGAAAGCAUCUAAGCACGAAACUUGCCCCGAG